AGGUAUCUGCGUUGGUCAUCUGUGCCAUCGGCAACGGCGGCGGAAACUGCUGCCAGUUGCAGGGGUGACCUCCAGCCAUGAAGGCGGUAUUAUCUGCGGUGGCCGCGCUCUUGUUCAUCGCCUUGGCGACCGGUAGCGCUGUAGGAGCCGACGAAGGUGCGAAGAAGGUGCUCCGGAUAAAACGUGAGGAUCAGUUCUGCGUCCCCAACUCGACCUUCCUGAUGGACUGCAACGAGUGUAUCUGCGAAAUCGACGGUUUGUCGGCGUCCUGCACAGCCAUGGAGUGUCCCGACCGUCGCCGCAGGGAUGUUUCGUGUAAGCCGGGAACAACAUUCAAACAAAACUGUAACACGUGCUUCUGCGGUGAGGAUGGGAAGUCUGUGAUCUGUGCCUCCAUUGGUUGCUCUGAAGGGAAGAGCUAGUAUGGAACCUACGCUGUCUGACGCGCAACUUAUUAAAUGUUGUUUGUAGAUAUUUCUCAACGGACGCAUAGAGGACAUUACACACGUCCAGAUGCUACACGUAUUCCCCAAUCUGUGGCUUUCAUUGUAUAUAGCAGCUAUUUUUAUUGUAAAUAGAAGAAAUACAUUAAUCAAGAACAUAA